UCUCUCCUCCCUCUAUCUUCUUCUCUCUCUGUUCUUUCUCUCUCUUUAUUUUUUUUUUCUUCCUCCCUCUUUUCAAUUCCCGUCGGCUUCUCCGAAUGCCCCUCGACACCGGCCGCCGUCGGUCGUCGUCCGCGUCCAGCCAAGCCAUCAAUACCGUGGCUGUCUUCCCCGGCGGAAAUCACCGCCGUUCCACACCGGGAACUGCAGCCGCCGUUCAUGAGCAGCCGCCGGUACUUGCUGGAGUCGCCGGUUUCCACCAAUUCGCCGCCCGUCAGCAGCCGCUGCUGCCGCGGAGAGGUCCAGCUGUCUGUCACCGCGUUGCUGCUGCCACGGGGAGGAGCCGCUGCUGUCACCGGACAGCACAGCACAGCUGCUGUCCCCGGCGCUCCGAACCACCCCGAUCAGCUCCGAAACGACCCCGAACCACCCCGAACUGCCCGCAAGAUAAGACCUUUAAUUGAAUGAGGAAGUUGGAAGAUCAUGGCAGAGUGGGAGUCGCAAGUUGGCGUUAGGGAAGGGAGAAGGAAGAAACUUGGGCUCAAAAUCUAUCUCCCAUAUUUUAAUUAAAUUGUUUGGGCUCAUUUAGUUGCAGAGCCCAAAUUUGUAUAAUUAUUUAUUUGUAAUAGCAUUUUUCUAUUUUCCAUGGCCCAAAGCCAUUUUUGUAAAUAACCAAUUGGGCUCUAAUUUAACUUGCAAAGCCCAAUAUAAAUUCAUACUUUAUAUUUUCGUAUUUUCCUUCGAUACUUAAAA